rnacentral:rRNA from 1 species
CCCUUAGAGUUUGAUCCUGGCUCAGAUUGAACGCUGGCGGCAUGCCUUACACAUGCAAGUCGAACGGUAACAGGGAGCUUGCUCCGCUGACGAGUGGCGAACGGGUGAGUAAUACAUCGGAACGUGCCCAGUAAUGGGGGAUAGCUCGGCGAAAGCCGGAUUAAUACCGCAUACGCCCUGAGGGGGAAAGUGGGGGACCGCAAGGCCUCACGUUAUUGGAGCGGCCGAUGGCUGAUUAGCUAGUUGGUAGGGUAAAGGCCUACCAAGGCGACGAUCAGUAGCUGGUCUGAGAGGACGAUCAGCCACACUGGGACUGAGACACGGCCCAGACUCCUACGGGAGGCAGCAGUGGGGAAUUUUGGACAAUGGGGGAAACCCUGAUCCAGCAAUGCCGCGUGUGCGAAGAAGGCCUUCGGGUUGUAAAGCACUUUUGUCAGGGAAGAAAUCUUUUGGGCUAAUACCCUAGGGGGAUGACGGUACCUGAAGAAUAAGCACCGGCUAACUACGUGCCAGCAGCCGCGGUAAUACGUAGGGUGCAAGCGUUAAUCGGAAUUACUGGGCGUAAAGCGUGCGCAGGCGGUUGUGUAAGACAGGUGUGAAAUCCCCGGGCUUAACCUGGGAAUUGCAUUUGUGACUGCACGACUAGAGUGUGUCAGAGGGGGGUGGAAUUCCACGUGUAGCAGUGAAAUGCGUAGAUAUGUGGAGGAACACCAAUGGCGAAGGCAGCCCCCUGGGAUAACACUGACGCUCAUGCA